rnacentral:tRNA from 1 species
GCGCCGGUGGUGUAAGGCGAACAUCGCUGCCCGGAAAGCAGAAGAUGCGGGUUCGAGUCUCGCCUGGCGCG